rnacentral:ncRNA from 1 species
UCGAUAGAGGUGCAAAACGCAAAAGUACUCUUCCGCAACGGAAAACGCCGGCGGCUGAGGAAAGGGCAAUUUGCCGAAAUGUACAUCCUUCGUUUUAGGGGUGUAUGUUGGUUUGAUGCAGAAUAUGUAUCAAACUGUCACGCAAGUGGAGAGCUAUCUUG